ensembl:lncRNA
CCUGCAAGGUGUUUUUUUCCCUGCUGGACGCUUAUGGUAACCGAACACAACAGAUCCUCUGCCUGUUAACCUGUCAUGCGCAAGAACUGCGCGGUUGAGGAGAUCAGUAUUCCAAUCAUUUGCUUUGAGCGAAGCGCAGAACAGCGUAGACUUGCAUCAACGCAGGCUGACAGUGAACAUCUAUGCACGUCAUCAAGGAUUCGGACAUUAAUUACGCACCUCUGGCUUUUCUGUCGUAAUUUAUGUUUUUUUAGUACAGAAUGGGGUGUAACUCCAGUACGCAGACCUCAGCACAAGAGGCAAGCAAACCAAGCUCAAAACCAAAGGAAAGUAACGGAGCAAGCACAACAGGCACAGCCAAUGAAAAUGGGGGCAUUCCAGAGGACAGUGAGACCCUCCCAGACCAAACUGCACCAGAGGCCGCGGCACAGCCAGCCAGUGAGAGCUCCAUAGCCCCAGCCACAGCAGAGCCCACAGGGAGCCCACAGGCAGAGGGCACUGAGGCUGCUGCCUCUGCUGCCUCCGCUGCCUCUGCCCCUGAGUCCUCCAGCCCCGCUCCAGCCUCCAGUGACUCCACAGCCCUGCCGGCAGCAUCUGAGGGUGAUGCCCCAGCAGAGGGCACCUCGAAUGAGGCUGCAGCUGCGUCUGGAUCCCCUGCCGAGGCCUCAGACAGCCCUGCUGAGUCAGCCCCCGAGCCAGCAGAGGGGACAACAGAAGAUGCUGCAUCAUCAGAGACCCCGGCUGAAUCCAACCCUGAAGCCCCAGGUGAGAAAAGGCAUCCUGAGUAGCAUGAGGGAGCAUCCAGCCUCUCUCCAGUGGCCUCUCUCUCUCUCUCUCUCUCUGUCUUCCAGCACAUUCAUGCCAUUUCCCCUUUUCUCUUCCAGCUCCCACCGAGGGGAACUAAGGGUGCCCCAGAGGGACACAUACCCACAAAACCCCAUGAUGCUCACCACAUUUCACAGUGUGCAAAAGCAAGACUGUAAAUCCACAGGGAACUUUAUUUAUAAAACCUUUAAAUUGGAGGCAGUUGAGCAAUAGCUUGUAACAGCUCAGGUACCAGCACACAAGGAGUCUGAUUACAGGAAGUUAUAUUUGAACCCCUUUUAUAUAGUCAUUUUAGUUUGAAAGUUAAAGUUGGUUAAAGUCACCUGGAACCAACCGUGCUUUUACAAUGGUCCCUACUGUGAGGGUCACGUCUACAAUAAUUCAGCAAUUGUCUGUUGCCAAGAUAGACAGACCAGUCUCAAAAGCUGGAGUCUAACAGAGUGACUGUGCCUUCAUUUCCUUCUGUUGGUGUGUGAGAAGAAUUUAUACUUUUGUAUAUACCAUAUUUCACCAGCACAAUAAGAUAAGAGAUUAUAUAAAUUACAUAGUAUAUAGCUUAAUGUCUUUGAAAUACAACUACUUUACUGUGAAAGGUUUGACUUUUUUUUUACGUAAAAGUCAAGACUUGGACUUAAUCGCCUUACACCUCUGUGUAUUUCACAAAUACACAGGCUAUAUAUGUAUUGUAUAAUCCACGACCAUUUAAAUGAUUGAAAGCCAAAGAAUUUGCAAAGAUUUAAAUUUUCUUUAUGCAGCCUCGUCCAUUUUACUGUAAUUUCCUGAAUCAGAAAUAAAAGGUCAACUGAAAAUUUGCCUUGUGAACCU